rnacentral:rRNA from 1 species
UACGUAGGGUGCAAGCGUUGUCCGGAAUUAUUGGGCGUAAAGAGCUCGUAGGCGGUCUGUCACGUCGGACGUGAAAAUCCAGGGCUCAACCCUGGACCUGCGUUCGAUACGGGCAGACUAGAGUUCGGUAGGGGAGACUGGAAUUCCUGGUGUAGCGGUGAAAUGCGCAGAUAUCAGGAGGAACACCGGUGGCGAAGGCGGGUCUCUGGGCCUUACCUGACGCUGAGGCGCGAAAGCUAGGGGAGCAAACAGG